AACGAACGCUGGCGGCAGGCUUAACACAUGCAGGUCGAACGGGUGCAGCAAUGCAUCAGUGGCAGACGGGUGAGUAACACGUGGGAACCUUCCUAGGGGUACGGAACAACUCAGGGAAACUUGAGCUAAUACCGUAUACGUCCGUGAGGAGAAAGAUUUAUCGCCCUUAGACGGGCCCGCGUCGGAUUAGCUAGUUGGUGGGGUAACGGCCUACCAAGGCGACGAUCCGUAGCUGAUCUUAGAGGAUGAUCAGCCACACUGGGACUGAGACACGGCCCAGACUCCUACGGGAGGCAGCAGUGGGGAAUCUUGGACAAUGGGCGCAAGCCUGAUCCAGCCAUGUCGCGUGAGUGAAGAAGGUCUUCGGAUUGUAAAGCUCUUUUGCCAGGGACGAUAAUGACGGUACCUGGAGAAUAAGCCCCGGCAAACUUCGUGCCAGCCGCCGCAGUAA
rnacentral:rRNA from 1 species